rnacentral:tRNA from 1 species
GGUUGUGGCUCAGUGGUAGAGUACUUGCCUAGCACAUGUGAGGCACUGGGUUCAAUCCCCAGUACCA